rnacentral:rRNA from 1 species
GAUCCUGGCUCAGGACGAACGCUGGCGGCGUGCUUAACACAUGCAAGUCGAACGAGAAUCUACUGAAAGAGUUUUCGGACGAUGGAAGUAGAGGAAAGUGGCGGACGGGUGAGUAACGCGUGAGGAACCUGCCUUGAAGAGGGGGACAACAGUUGGAAACGACUGCUAAUACCGCAUGAAGCAUAGGGGUCGCAUGAUUCUUAUGCCAAAGAUUUAUCGCUUCAAGAUGGCCUCGCGU